rnacentral:rRNA from 1 species
AAGUGCGGCAGCUACAAUGCAAGUCGAGCGGGGAUAGGGUUUCGGCCCUAUUCUAGCGGCGGACGGGUGAGUAACGCGUGAACAAUCUGUCCUAUACAGGGGGAUAACACUUGGAAACAGGUGCUAAUACCGCAUAAGCCCACAACCCGGCAUCGGGGAGGGGGAAAAGGAGCGAUUCGGUAUAGGGUGAGUUCGCGUCCCAUUAGCUAGUUGGUGAGGUAAAGGCCCACCAAGGCGACGAUGGGUAGCCGACCUGAGAGGGUGAUCGGCCACACUGGAACUGAGAAACGGUCCAGACUCCUACGGGAGGCAGCAGUGGGGAAUAUUGGGCAAUGGGGGAAACCCUGACCCAGCAACGCCGCGUGAGGGAAGAAGGCUUUCGGGUCGUAAACCUCUGUCCCAUGGGAAGAGCAAGAGACGGUACCAUGGGAGGAAGCCCCGGCUAACUACGUGCCAGCAGCCGCGGUAAUACGUAGGGGGCGAGCGUUGUCCGGAAUGACUGGGCGUAAAGGGCGCGUAGGUGGCCUUUCAAGUCUGGAGUGAAAGUCCUGCUUUUAAGGUGGGAAUGGCUUUGGAAACUGAGAGGCUUGAGUGUGGGAGAGGAUAGCGGAAUUCCCGGUGUAGCGGUGAAAUGCGUAGAGAUCGGGAGGAACACCAGUGGCGAAGGCGGCUAUCUGGACCAAGACUGACACUGAGGCGCGAAAGCGUGGGUAGCAAACAGGAUUAGAUACCCUGGUAGUCCACGCUGUAAACGAUGGAUGCUAGGUGUAGGAGGUAUCGACCCCUUCUGUGCCGGAGUAACGCAAUAAGCAUCCCGCCU